rnacentral:rRNA from 1 species
AAUAGAUACCCGGGUAGUCCACGCCGUAAACGAUGAGUGCUAAGUGUUAGGGGGGUUUCCGCCCCUUAGUGCUGCAGCUAACGCAUUAAGCACUCCGCCUGGGGAGUACGGUCGCAAGACUGAAACUCAAAGGAAUUGACGGGGGCCCGCACAAGCGGUGGAGCAUGUGGUUUAAUUCGAAGCAACGCGAAGAACCUUACCAGGUCUUGACAUCCCAUUGACCACUAUGGAGACAUAGUUUUCCCUUCGGGGACAACGGUGACAGGUGGUGCAUGGUUGUCGUCAGCUCGUGUCGUGAGAUGUUGGGUUAAGUCCCGCAACGAGCGCAACCCUUGUUCUUAGUUGCCAUCAUUUAGUUGGGCACUCUAAGGAGACUGCCGGUGACAAACCGGAGGAAGGUGGGGAUGACGUCAAAUCAUCAUGCCCCUUAUGACCUGGGCUACACACGUGCUACAAUGGACGGUACAAACGGUUGCCAACCCGCAAGGGGGAGCUAAUCCGAUAAAACCGUUCUCAGUUCGGAUUGUAGGCUGCAACUCGCCUACAUGAAGCC